UACGGGGGGAGCAAGCGUUGUUCGGAUUUACUGGGCGUAAAGGGCGCGUAGGCGGCGUAACAAGUCACUUGUGAAAUCUCCGGGCUUAACUCGGAGCGGUCAAGUGAUACUGUUGUGCUAGAGUGCGGAAGGGGCUACUGGAAUUCUCGGUGGAGCGGUGAAAUGCGUAGAUAUCGUUUGGAACGCCAAUGGUGAAAACAGGUCGCUGGGGAUGCGCUGACGCUGAGACACGAAAGCCCAGGGGAGCAAACGGG
rnacentral:rRNA from 1 species